AAGGUCACACUUCAUAGGAUCAUUUCUAUAGUAUGAUUGUUGAGUUUCUUUCGCAAACUCGAAAUGGCUACAACGGUGAUGAGGAGCCGUAGGGUUUCUACCUGAGCGCGAAAAGGGCAGAAAGCAUUACCUUCUUUUGGGUGCGCUGCUGCUAUUGAUGAACGUUCUUCUGGGACUGUGGUGUAGGAUGUAAUGUAGAACCCCAUUCUGAGCGGU